GGAAGAUAUGCGAAUGGAAAGCGCUCCGGUUUGAACCCGGCUGCCCGCAAGGGUUGGGAGUUCGAGUCUCCUGUCUUCCG
rnacentral:tRNA from 1 species